rnacentral:rRNA from 1 species
AGAGUUUGAUCCUGGCUCAGGAUGAACGCUAGCUACAGGCUUAACACAUGCAAGUCGAGGGGAAACGAUAUUGGAAGCUUGCUUCCGAUAGGCGUCGACCGGCGCACGGGUGAGUAACGCGUAUCCAACCUGCCCACCACUUGGGGAUAACCUUGCGAAAGUAAGACUAAUACCCAAUGACGUCUCUAGAAGACAUCUGAAGGAGAUUAAAGAUUUAUCGGUGAUGGAUGGGGAUGCGUCUGAUUAGCUUGUUGGCGGGGUAACGGCCCACCAAGGCAACGAUCAGUAGGGGUUCUGAGAGGAAGGUCCCCCACAUUGGAACUGAGACACGGUCCAAACUCCUACGGGAGGCAGCAGUGAGGAAUAUUGGUCAAUGGGCGAGAGCCUGAACCAGCCAAGUAGCGUGCAGGAAGACGGCCCUAUGGGUUGUAAACUGCUUUUAUAAGGGAAUAAAGUUAGUCUCGUGAGACUUUUUGCAUGUACCUUAUGAAUAAGGACCGGCUAAUUCCGUGCCAGCAGCCGCGGUAAUACGGAAGGUCCGGGCGUUAUCCGGAUUUAUUGGGUUUAAAGGGAGCGUAGGCCGGAGAUUAAGCGUGUUGUGAAAUGUAGACGCUCAACGUCUGCACUGCAGCGCGAACUGGUUUCCUUGAGUACGCACAAAGUGGGCGGAAUUCGUGGUGUAGCGGUGAAAUGCUUAGAUAUCACGAAGAACUCCGAUUGCGAAGGCAGCUCACUGGAGCGCAACUGACGCUGAAGCUCGAAAGUGCGGGUAUCGAACAGGAUUAGAUACCCUGGUAGUCCACGCCGUAAACGAUGAAUGCUAGGUGUAGGAGGUAUCGACCCCUUCUGUGCCGGAGUUAACGCAAUAAGCAUUCCGCCUGGGGAGUACGGCCGCAAGGCUGAAACUCAAAGGAAUUGACGGGGGCCCGCACAAGCGGUGGAGUAUGUGGUUUAAUUCGACGCAACGCGAAGAACCUUACCAGGGCUUGACAUUGAGUGAAAGGACAAGAGAUUGUCCCCUCUCUUCGGAGACACGAAAACAGGUGGUGCAUGGCUGUCGUCAGCUCGUGUCAUGAGAUGUUGGGUUAAGUCCCGCAACGAGCGCAACCCCUAUCCUUUGUUGCCAGCACGUUAUGGUGGGAACUCAAAGGAGACUGCCGCGGACAACGCGGAGGAAGGCGGGGAUGACGUCAAGUCAUCAUGCCCCUUAUGUCCUGGGCUACACACGUACUACAAUGGGAUGGACAGAGAGCAGCGAAGCCGCGAGGCCAAGCGAACCCCAUAAACCAUCUCCCAGUUCGGAUUGCAGGCUGCAACCCGCCUGCAUGAAGUUGGAAUCGCUAGUAAUCGCAGGUCAGCAUACUGCGGUGAAUACGUUCCCGGGCCUUGUACACACCGCCCGUCACACCACGGAAGUCAUUCACACCCGAAGCCGGCAGGCUAACCUUUUGGAGGCAGCCGUCUAAGGUGGGGGCGAUGACUGGGGUGAAGUCGUAACAAGGUA